CCCUUAGAUGUUCUGGGCUGCACGCGCGCUACACUGACGAAGUCAGCGAGCAUCUCCUACGCCGAAAGGUGCGGGGAAUCUUGUGAAACUUUGUCGUGCUGGGGAUUGAUUUUUGAAAUUCUUGAUCAUCAACGAGGAAUUCCUAGUAAGCGCAAGUCAGCAGCUUGCGUUGAUUACGUCCCUGCCCUUUGUACACACCGCCCGUCGCUACUACCGAUUGAAUGGUUUAGUGAGAUUUUUGGACUGGAACUCUCUUGUUCAGCAAUGAACGAGAGGGACUCUGGGAAGCUAUUCUAACUGUAUCAUUUAGAGGAAGUAAAAGUCGUAACA
rnacentral:rRNA from 1 species